rnacentral:rRNA from 1 species
GACGGAGGAUGCAAGCGUUAUCCGGAAUGAUUGGGCGUAAAGCGUUCGUAGGUGGCCGUUCAAGUCUGCUGUCAAAGACCGGGGCUUAACUUCGGAAAGGCAGUGGAAACUGAACAGCUAGAGUAUGGUAGGGGCAGAGGGAAUUCCUGGUGUAGCGGUGAAAUGCGUAGAGAUCAGGAAGAACAUCGGUGGCGAAGGCGCUCUGCUGGACCAUAACUGACACUCAGGGACGAAAGCUAGGGGAGCGAAUGGG